rnacentral:lncRNA from 1 species
AAAGCACGUACCACAAAGGGACCUGGAAACAAAAACGAGAAUCAACUUUGAUUUUUAUAUCGCAAUACCACCUCAUGAGCAAAUAAAGUGGAGAGCUGGAUUUGGUUUGCUGACUCCUGGGACAGAAGACAGACUGAAGGAUGUCUGAGGAAAUGAAUGAGUAAAAGCCACCAUUUUUGUUUUGUGGAGAGCUGGAUUUGGUUUGCUGACUCCUGGGACAGAAGACAGACUGAAGGAUGUCUGAGGAAAUGAAUGAGUAAAAGUCACCAUUUUUGUUUUGCUACAAUUCAGACAUAGUAGUCAGCAAGCUUCAACCACAUAGAAAAAAAAACCCUAGAAGACUGCAACAACAAAAAAGAGGUGGGGUGGAAACCUUGAUCCCUGGAUAAUCCUGUGGAGCGAAGAAGCCCUGAGCUGAAAACCAAUUUAAACUUGGGAGAAAAUUAACUUUCUAUCAAAGUUAAAUCACUGUUAUUUGGUUUCUUUAAAACAGUUGAAUCAAUAAUGUGUGGUCCACUGAUCAUCAUGCAUGUUAUUUUGAAAUACGAACGACCCUUUAUCUACCUGGUAUAUAUUUUCGAACUCCUCCUAGAACCCAUCCUUGACCUACUUGUUCCAUUGCUACUCCAAACAAUCAUUGCUACUUUUCUGUAACUUCUAUAUCAUGUAUAUAUAUAAACACAUACCUUUUUUUUUUUUUUUUG